rnacentral:rRNA from 1 species
AGUGAACGCUGGCGGUAGGCCUAACACAUGCAAGUCGAACGGCAGCACAGUAAGAGCUUGCUCUUACGGGUGGCGAGUGGCGGACGGGUGAGGAAUACAUCGGAAUCUACUUUUUCGUGGGGGAUAACGUAGGGAAACUUACGCUAAUACCGCAUACGACCUACGGGUGAAAGCAGGGGAUCUUCGGACCUUGCGCGAUUGAAUGAGCCGAUGUCGGAUUAGCUAGUUGGCGGGGUAAAGGCCCACCAAGGCGACGAUCCGUAGCUGGUCUGAGAGGAUGAUCAGCCACACUGGAACUGAGACACGGUCCAGACUCCUACGGGAGGCAGCAGUGGGGAAUAUUGGACAAUGGGCGCAAGCCUGAUCCAGCCAUACCGCGUGGGUGAAGAAGGCCUUCGGGUGGUAAAGCCCUUUUGUUGGGAAAGAAAAGCAGCAGGUUAAUACCUCGCUGUUCUGACGGUACCUAAAGAAUAAGCACCGGCUAACUUCGUG